CAGAAGAAACAGCAGUUAAUCUUCUGGAAGGUUGGAAAAGACUUUGUGAAUGUGGGGAUGUUUAAUCUGAACCUUGAAGAACAAGCAUAAAUCCAAGAGGUACAGAAGAGGGGAGGUGGAAAUAGCAUGAACGAGGUGGGGCAUGCAAGUUCACUUCCAAUUGAUACGGCCUUUUGCCUCAGAUCUGCUUCCUGUAACACAGAAGUUUUCAGAUUCUAGGAAAAGGUAUUGAGUGAAUUGAAGGCUCUGUUAAGGGGGCAGCUAUCUCCCCUCCCCAUUCUCCUAUCAGCCCGUAAAACAGGAACUGACAAUCUCUUGGAAGAACUGGGAAGAAACUUUUCGACUUUCUUGGUACAAUCUUCACUGGUUCCUCUCUGUGAGAGGAGGAGGGAAAUCUUGGGUUGGUGUAGUUGGGAAAAGGGUAUGAAGUGUGCAUGGCUCAGCCUGUUCCUGGCUCUCUCUCUGGGACUGACCUGACUGCAAGCAGCAUGUUCUCUCUCUGCUCCUGCCUCCUCCAGGCAACGAGCACCAGGGCGGGUCCAGCCCCUGCUUGGGAGGACUUCAAUAGUCCAGCUGCUCUGCCGCGAGUGGGUGAGUGAGUUCAAGUCAGGGGAGAAGACACAGAAAGCUCAUUUGGGCCCUGGGUCUUAGCCACAUCCUCCAGUCCAUCUGGACUAGCAAUAAAGCUGACAUUUUAAUCCC